GGGGUUGUAGCUCAGUGGAGGUAGAGCACUUGCCUUGCAUGCAUGAGGUCCUGGGUUCAAUCCUCAGAACCACA
rnacentral:tRNA from 1 species